CGACCUCAGGACAGGUGAGACUACCCGCUGAAUUUAAGCAUAUUAUUAAGCGGAGGAAAAGAAACUAACUAGGAUUCCCUUAGUAGCGGCGAGCGAACAGGGAUUAGCCCAGCACUGAAUCCCGCGAUCGUAACCGGUCGCCGGGAGAUGUGGUGUUUGGAAGGAUCCAUUAUCUGGCGAGUUCGCGGCGCGUUCAAGUCCAUCUUGAAUGGGGCCAUCGCCCAUAGAGGGUGCCAGGCCCGUAGCGACCGCUGCGGCUUGCUAGAGGAUCUCUUCUUAGAGUCGGGUUGCUUGAGAGUGCAGCCCUAAGUGGGUGGUAAACUCCAUCUAAGGCUAAAUAUAACCACGAGACCGAUAGCGAACAAGUACCGUGAGGGAAAGUUGAAAAGAACUUUGAAGAGAGAGUUCAAGAGUACGUGAAACCGUUCAGGGGUAAACCUGAGAAACCCGAAAGGUCGAAUGGGGAGAUUCAUUCGCGCCUGUUGUUGGGAUUUACUGACUGUGGAAACGGCGACGUUCGCGUUGGCUGUUCCCUUCGGUUCAUCUCCGGCUUCGGACGCGUGCACUUCUCCCCUAGUAGGUCGUCGCGAUCCGUUGGGUGCUGUUCUACGGUCUCGAGUGUAGCCCGUGAGCUCGGAUUUUCCGAUGUUUACGGACACUGGGUUUCCGAACAGCUCGCUCGACGGUUUACUGAUGGCGGGAGGCCGCGACUUAGUUCGCGUCCGGCCCGUGGCAAGUAUGUGAAUUGUGAUGGCGAUCGGACCUAGUGCCGAUUCCGUCCGUUUGCGACUGUUCGCCGCGGUGUUCUUGGACAGACAAGCGAUCAGCGAUCGCUAUUGCUUUGGGUACUUUCAGGACCCGUCUUGAAACACGGACCAAGGAGUCUAGCGUGGUGCGCGAGUCAUUGGAAUCACUAAACCCAAAGGCGCAAUGAAAGUAACGGUUUCACUUUAUGUGAACUAAGGGAAGAUGGUCGGUCUCCAUGACUGACCCGCAUUCCCGGGGCGCCUCAUUCUCAUUGCGAGAGGAGGCGCACCAAGAGCGUACACGCUGGGACCCGAAAGAUGGUGAACUAUGCUUGGUCAGGACGAAGUCAGGGGAAACCCUGAUGGAGGUCCGUAGCGAUUCUGACGUGCAAAUCGAUCGUCGGAACUGGGUAUAGGGGCGAAAGACUAAUCGAACCAUCUAGUAGCUGGUUCCCUCCGAGUUUCCCUCAGGAUAGCUGGCGCUCGUUGCAUACGAGUCUCAUCCGGUUAAAGCGAUAUGAUUAGAGGCAUUGGGUCGAAACGACCUCAACCUAUUCUCAAACUUUAAAUGGGUGAGAUCUCCGGCUUGCUUGAAUGUGAAGCGCGGAGAUUUCGGAUCAGUAGUGCCAAGUGGGCCAUUUUAAGGUAAGCAGAACUGGCGCUGUGGGAUGAACCAAACGCCGAGUUAAAGCGCCUAAAUCGACGCUUAUGGGAUACCAUGAAAGGCGUUGGUAACUUAAGACAGCAGGACGGUGGCCAUGGAAGUCGGAAUCCGCCAAGGAGUGUGUAACAACUCACCUGCCGAAGUUACUAGCCCUGAAAAUGGAUGGCGCUGAAGCGUCGUGCUUAUACUCGGCCGUCAGUGGCAUGUGCGGUCGCCCUUCGGGGCGGUCAUGAAGCCCUGAUGAGUAGGAGGGUCGCGGAGGUGAGCGCAGAAGGGCUGGCCGUGAGGCCGUCUGGAGCCGCCUUCGGUGCAGAUCUUGGUGGUAGUAGCAAAUACUCCAGCGAGGCCCUGGAGAGCUGAGGUGGAGAAGGGUUUCGUGUGAACAGCCGUUGCACACGAGUCAGUCGAUCCUAAGCCCUAGGCGAAAGCCGAUGUUGAUGUGGCGUUGUUAAUCGUGUUUAUAAGUGGUGGCAGAAAUGCUAUGCAUCUUGACGCGUGACGCACGCCCGUCGGGCGAAAGGGAAUCCGGUUCCUAUUCCGGAACCCGGCAGCGGAACCGAAAUUAAACCGGGCCCUCGUAAGAGAGUUCGUCGGGCAACCCAAAAGGACCCGGAUGACGCCGUCGAGAGAUCCGGGAAGAGUUUUCUUUUCUGCAUAAGCGUUCGAGUUCCAUGGAAUCCUCUAGCAGGGAGAUAUGGUUUGGAACGCGAAGAGCACCGCAUUUGCGGCGGUGUCCGGAUCUUCUCCUCGGACCUUGAAAUCCGGGAGAGGGCCACGUGUAGGCGUCGCGCCGGCUCGUACCCAUAUCCGCAGGCUGGUCUCCAAGGUAAAGAGCCUCUAGUCGAUAGAAUAAUGUAGGUAAGGGAAGUCGGCAAAUUAGAUCCGUAACUUCGGGAUAAGGAUUGGCUCUGAGGAUUGGUGGCGUGUCGGGCUUGUUGGGGAAGUGGGGCACGGCUAACGUACCGGGUCUGGGCGAGGUGAUGCGUUUCGCUUGCGUUACGUUUGAUCCGAGCUCGGUCCCGCGUCCUUGGCUCCCGCGGAAUCGUCAAGCUUCGAGACCCCGUGAGUGCUCGCAAGGGUGCUCUGGGUA